ACGACUGCAAAAAUUUUUGAGGUCGUAUAUUGGUAUGACGUUGGCGUCGUCGUCGUCGUCCGGCGUCGUCCGAAGACACAUUGGUUUUCGCACUCUAACUUUAGUUUAAGUGAAUGGAUCUCUAUGAAAUUUUACCAUAAGGUUCAAUACCACAAAAGGAAGGUUGGGAUUGAUUUUGGGGGUUAUGGUACCAACAGUAAAGGAAUUAGGGGCCAAAAAUAAGCAUUUUUGUAACUUCCAGACAUAAUUUGUGUGUAAGUGUAUGGAUCUCUCUGACAUUGUACCACAAGGUUCCAUAUCACAAAAGGAAUGCUGGGAUUGAUUUUGGGGGUAAUUGCCUCCAAAUUUUAGGAAUUAGGGGCCAAAAAAGGGGCAAAAAACAAGCAUUUUCUAGUUUCAUGACAAUAACUUGUGUGUAAGUGUAUGGAUCUUUCUGAAAUUUUACUCAAGGUUCCAUAUCACAAAGGGAAAGCUAGAAUUGAGUUUGGGGGUAAUUGCCGAAACGUUUAGGAAUUGGGGGCCAAAAAGGGGCCAAAAAUAAGCAUUUUUCUAGUUUCCAGACAAUUACUUGUGUUCAAGUGUAUGGAUCUCUCUGAAAUUGUACUGCAAGGUACCAUACCACAAAGGGAAGGCUGGGAUUGAUGAUGGAGGUAAUUGCCUCAAUAUUUUAGGAAUUAGGGGCAAAAAAGGGGCAAAAAAAAAGCAUGUUUCUAGUUUCAGGACAAUAACUUGUGUGUAAGUAUAUGGAUCUUUCUGAAAUUGUACUACAAGGUUCCAUAUCACAAAGGGAGAGCUGGGUUUGAGUUUGGGGGUAAUUGCCCUAACGUUUAGGAAUUUGGGGCCAAAAAGGGGCCUAAAAACAAGCAUUUUUCUAGUUUAAGGACAAUAACUUGUGUGUAAGUGUAUGGAUCUUUAUGAAAUUGUACUACAAGGUUCCAUAUCACAAAGGGAGAGCUGGGUUUGAGUUUGGGGGUAAUUGCCCUAACGUUUAGGAAUUUGGGGCCAAAAAGGGGCCUACAAACAAGCAUUUUUCUAGUUUCCAGACAAUAACUUGUGUUCAAGUGUAUGGAUCUCUCUGAAAUUGUACUGCAAGGUACCAUACCACAAAGGGAAGGCUUGGAUUGAGUUUGGGGGUGAUGAAUCAUAAGGGGGUUCAAAAAAUUUGGGGGAGGGAUUUUUUUCACAAUCCAAAUUCAGUGCUGUAUCAAGCUUGAAUGUUGUGUCCAUACUUGCCCCAACUGUUCAGUGUUCGAUCUCAGCGGUCGUAUCAAGCUGCGCCCAAGCGGAGCAUUUUAUUAGUUUAUAUUUUGUUGCCAUUCUUAGUUUCAGUCUAUCAAAGUUUUCCAGAUAUUAGGCAAAAAUACUAAAAUUGGUCAAAAAUAGUCAUUUUUGGCUGAGACUACUACAAAACAUAGUAGUCACAGUUUAAAAGCUAUAGAGAGGUGUCAACUGAUGUUUUUUGACCAUGUUGACUUAUUUUGAAAGUGUCUUGCUAAUAAUCAUUGCUGAUGUUUUUAUUUAUUACACAGCUACUUAGCACAAGCAAUCUUGAUGAACAUCUGAUAAGAUGUAUAAAAACUACAUUUGUUGAGAUGUAUAUAAACUGUACAUUUGUUGAGAUACAUUUAAAUGGACUGUGCACAUGUUAAGAUGUAU